GUCCCAGUUCGGAUUGAAGGCUGAAAUUCGCCUUCAUGAAGCCGGAAUUGCUAGUAAUGGCAGGUCAGCAUACUGCCGUGAAUACGUUCCCGGGCCUUGUACACACCGCCCGUCACACCAUGAGAGUUGGGAAUACCCGAAGCCUGUGAGCUAACUUUUAGAGACAGCAGUCGAAGGUAGAAUCAAUGAUUGGGGUGAAGUCGUAACAAGGUAAC
rnacentral:rRNA from 1 species